rnacentral:rRNA from 1 species
AACGUAGGUGGCGAGCGUUAUCCGGAUUUACUGGGCGUAAAGCGUGUGCAGGUGGCCUGUUAAGUGGUGUAUGAAAUCGCCCGGCUCAACCGGGCGGGGUUAUGCCAGACUGGCAGGCUAGAGGGUGGGAGAGGGAUGUGGAAUUCCGGGUGUAGUGGUGAAAUGCGUAGAGAUCCGGAAGAACACCGGUGGCGAAGGCGGCCUGCUGGGCAGUAGCUGACGCUGAGGCGCGACAGCGUGGGGAGCAAACAGG